rnacentral:lncRNA from 1 species
AUGAGCUCAGUUGAUCAGAUCUUUCUGGUUCACAUGUACUUGCGUCUCUUCUGUGUGUAUCCAUCUUUCUAUCUAUCUAUCAAUCUUAGCUUUAGAGGCUUAGAGCUUAGCCUUGCAGCGUGCUAUUAUGUCUGUGUUUCAUCAGAAAAUCUUUGUCAUUAGCCAGUCACAGUUGCAGCAAUAACCCCUGUGUCCUCCACCCUUGGAUUCUUAUCUUUGUUUCUACCUACUAUUUGCCUUUGGGAUUGAGUUUGAGGCACACUUUUUUAGAGGAUCAAAUCAAAGAUCCCAACCCUGUGGUCUACUGA